rnacentral:lncRNA from 1 species
GUGAGAAAUUGGUAAACCUGUACCGUUACCCAUAUAAAUCUUGCUAUCACCCGAAUAUUCUGUCCCAAAGUUGAGAUUACUCAAGUCAUUAGUGACAUGGUUGGUUGCCCCUGAAUUUGGGUACCAAUUUGUGUCAGUGAAUGGUUCUGGAGUAGAGGCAACAGCUGCAAUUGGAGAGUUUUCUGAUUGUUGCUGCCGUGAAGGGUGCUGACUGCUAGAAUUCAAAUUUGAACUAUAUCCAGAGAAGUUGGAAUCGAACCUGAAGUAACACUUGUGAACUGUAUGACCAUAUUUACCACAAAGUUGGCACUGAGGUCUAUUGCCACCAUUCCAAGACCUGCCUCCUCUGUUACCGCGACCUCUACCACGAUUUCCUUGAGCUGGUGAAAAGAUUGGAUGAAAAGAGGGCUGAGAGCUAUAACUACGUCCUCCACUGUGUGAUUUGCGUUGUUGGAAAGUCAAGUUGACAGAGGGAGUAGAUGACUCAGUACUACCAUGGAAUUGCUCAAGACGAACUUCAUGUGCUUGAAGUAAUGCUCUUACCUCAUCCAAGGUGAACGGUUCUGGACGAUUGGUGACAUUGACCACUACUGAAUCGUACUCAAGUCCAACACCUGCAAGGAUGUAAAGAAUCUGAUCUUCCUCUGAAAUUGAAUACCCUGCUGAAGAAAGUGUAUCUGCUGCAGCUUUCAUCUUGGACAGGUACUCUUUCAUUGCAAGACCUCCUUUUUUCAAGGUUUGUAGCUGCAAUUUAUAUUGCAUUAUUUUGGCUUUAGAUCUGGAGCCAAACAAGGUAGCAACAGCUUUCCAAACAUCUGCUGAUGAGUGACAUCCCACCAUUUGAGCUUGAAUACUCUCAUCCAUGGUAGCAAGAAGAUACGAGAAGAUCAACGAAUCCUGUCGUUGAAAGCGAAUAUACUCAGGAUUUAGAGAUCCUGGAAGGUCAUUUUCUGAUGGCAAGAUUUUGGAUGGAGAGGUUACUGAUCCAUAAAUAAAAUUCUCAAGGCCGAGACCACGAAUUCCAGCUUCUAGC